rnacentral:lncRNA from 1 species
CGCCGCUAAUGCUCAAUUUUUAGCGGCGUUUUUUGUACAAAUGCCGCUAAAAGUGCCGCUAAAAGCCUGUUUUGCUGUAGUGAUUCCAGUUGUGUAUGCACAUGCUUACAUAGAUGUUAUAUAGUUUCAGUUUUAACAGAAAAGAUCUUACCCCACUUCUACACACCAUAAUGAGAGUUUCCCAAAAAUGCAACCACCAACGCACCAGAUUGUGGAUUAAACACCAAUGUUUUGCAGAUUAACU